UACAGAGGUCUCAAGCGUUGUUCGGAUUCAUUGGGCGUAAAGGGUGCGUAGGUGGCGCUGUAAGUCAGGUGUGAAAUUUCGGAGCUUAACUCCGAAACUGCAUUUGAUACUGCGGUGCUUGAGGACUGGAGAGGAGACUGGAAUUUACGGUGUAGCAGUGAAAUGCGUAGAGAUCGAUAAGGAAGACCAGUGGCGAAGGCGGGUCUCUGGACAGUUCCUGACACUGAGGCACGAAGGCCAGGGAGCAAACGGG
rnacentral:rRNA from 1 species